rnacentral:lncRNA from 13 species
AUGGCUUAUUUCACUUGGCAUAAUGACCUCAACGCUCAUCUGUGUUGUAACGCCUCAAGAGAUUCAAUGUUUUAUGUCUCCAAAGAAAUCGCAUCCACAAUCCAGACAACUUACCUCUCCACAGUACCCGGUGUACGGCACCUCCACCCACCUUCCUCCUGCUCCAGCCAUGUAAGACAUGCCUGCUUCCCCUUCACCUCCACCAGGAUUGUAAGCUUCCUGAGGCCUUCCCAGCCAUGCUUCCUGUAGAGCCUUUGGAAUUGUGAGCCAAUUAAACUUUUUUUCUUUAUAAAUACCCAGUCUCAGGUAUUUCUUUAUAGCAGUGUGAGAAC